rnacentral:pre_miRNA from 1 species
AGUGGCGGGGCCAGCUCUGGAGCCCUGGAUUCAGCUCCCGCAGUAACUACAGAGCUCUCCAUCUGCA